rnacentral:rRNA from 2 species
AUGGACGCAAGUCUGAUGGAGCAACGCCGCGUGAGUGAAGAAGGCUUUCGGGUCGUAAAACUCUGUUGUUGGAGAAGAAUGGUCGGCAGAGUAACUGUUGUCGGCGUGACGGUAUCCAACCAGAAAGCCACGGCUAACUACGUGCCAGCAGCCGCGGUAAUACGUAGGUGGCAAGCGUUAUCCGGAUUUAUUGGGCGUAAAGCGAGCGCAGGCGGUUUUUUAAGUCUGAUGUGAAAGCCCUCGGCUUAACCGAGGAAGUGCAUCGGAAACUGGGAAACUUGAGUGCAGAAGAGGACAGUGGAACUCCAUGUGUAGCGGUGAAAUGCGUAGAUAUAUGGAAGAACACCAGUGGCGAAGGCGGCUGUCUGGUCUGUAACUGACGCUGAGGCUCGAAAGCAUGGGUAGCGAACAGGAUUAGAUACCCUGGUAGUCCAUGCCGUAAACGAUGAAUGCUAGGUGUUGGAGGGUUUCCGCCCUUCAGUGCCGCAGCUAACGCAUUAAGCAUUCCGCCUGGGGAGUACGACCGCAAGGUUGAAACUCAAAGGAAUUGACGGGGGCCCGCACAAGCGGUGGAGCAUGUGGUUUAAUUCGAAGCAACGCGAAGAACCUUACCAGGUCUUGACAUCUUUUGAUCACCUGAGAGAUCAGGUUUCCCCUUCGGGGGCAAAAUGACAGGUGGUGCAUG